GACGAACGCUGGCGGCGGGCUUAACACAUGCAAGUCGAACGGAAAGGCACUGCGUUUUUGGGGUUCUCGAGUGGCGAAGGGGUGAGUAACACGAGAGUAACCGGACCUUGACUUUGGUAUAACUUCAGGUAACUGAAGCUAAGACCGUAUAGCAGCUCCUCCGCCAUUGUGAGGGGUGGAAAGUUUCGGCGGUUGCGGUUGGACUCGCGGCUUAUCAGCUUGCUGGUUGGGUAGUUGCAUGCCAAGCAUGUGACGGGUAGGCCGCACGAGAGGGUGAACGGCGACCAUGGGACUGCGAUACGCACCAGACUCGUAUGGGAGGCAACAGUCGGGAAUAUUAUCCAAUCAUCGCAAGUCUGAUGCAGCAACGUCGCGUGCGGGAUGACGGUCUUCGGGUUGUAAAACGCUUUCGCUUGUGACGCAGCGUGUCUGACGGUACUGGGUAAAGAAGCACCGGCUAACUACGUG
rnacentral:rRNA from 1 species